GUCUUGUCACUUUUGACAUUUACCAUAUUUUUUUUCUGUUGAAAACUUUAGCCGAAAUUGUCUGAACUGUUUGAAAAGAAGUUUCUUUUAAGUAUCCAAAAAUUACUACUGACAAAGCUACUUAUGCUUAUCCAGUUGGUUACACUGCACAUGACUGUUGUACAUUGUGAUUAUACUUCCACACCCAGCCUGGAAGCACCCAGCUGCCUAAAGGGCGCUCCACAUUCUCAAGAGAAUCUCCCGAGAACGCGAGAAACAUGUGAGAAACGUGAAUGUGGAAGCGAUUUCUCAAGUUCUCGCGUUGUUCCCCAGCUUUACUCCACUUUUUGUCGGUAUUUUGGCGCGAGACAAAGGAGCGCGAGAACGUCAGAACAGGCGAGAACGUAGCGCGCGCGCCGCCGACUUGAACGGAAAUGCUUCCCCUUGGUGACGAGAAUGCCGCACCGCAAGCAACAGCCACUGGGACUAGUGCUGGUGCUGUUGCUACAAAUAGUGCUUUGCCCGACAGAAUUGAAAUUAUGUGAACUCCCAGAGGCGCAGAGGCUGAAGCCAAAGGAGACUUGAUGGUUUUGCAGUGCGAGCAGAUACAAUGCGAUAGCGAGAAGGCGGAAGCCAUGAAAAUGGUAGCUGCAGCAGUAAAUACACAAACUGCUGUAAAUGAGGGACACAAUGCCAGAUUAAUGGCAUUCAUAGAAGCAGAAAAAGAAACUCGGUCGCAGUCGUGGGCGCGGUCGUGGGCGCACCAAAAAAUUUCCUUGAGCAUAUAGAGCCUUUCAGCGGCUGAGUAUUCCAAAUCGCCGAGUCGUGUGGGCUACACACUUGCACGCCAUGACUUGCAUGACUUGCAUCCACACUUAAAAUGACGAGAUUAGCGUCAUAUAUCUGUAAAAACUAACUGUGAUUAUAAGGCCCUACAUUAUAGGUAAUUUGUUAGUUUUUAAAGACUACUAGAUUACUACUUAAUUAUAAAUAAUUACCAACUGAGAUUUUCUAAUUUCCUAUAAUUAUGUAAUAACUUGAUUUUUAAUGAAUUAUUAUGAGAAUACUCAAAGACUUAUAUGAGAAAUAAUACUUUUAUGAUUAAUAUUAUUAGUUUUAUAAAGUUUUGUUGUUUUCCAAGAUGAUUUAGUCAGCAGUGGAUAUCUGCCUUUAGAAAGCAUAUAGGUAAUUUGUUAUUCUAGGAAAGAGACUAUAGAAAUUCCAAUCGCCAUCUGUUGGUCACUUGGGUGCAACAACACUCAUCGCAAUAAAAUAAAAAUAAUUUAAUAUGAUGAUGUAGUUUCUAAUGUGGAUUUGAACAAAAUAAAUACAUUUUGGCUCAGUAA